ACCAGCAACUUUGAUCACUUUCCACCUCCUCUUUCAUUUCAUUUUAUUCCUUUUCUUUUUACCUCUCUUUAUUCCCUUAUUCCCCUCCCUCUAUAUUACUUCCCUUCAUCUUCCUCUCCUUUUCCCACCACCCUUAAAAUUAAUGGGAUUUUCAGAGAACUUCCAAGAUGAUAUGGCCUUCGAAUUCGACUCCAAAAAAUGGGUCAUCACUGGAAUUCAAUUCCGACCUCCUCUAAUGCUCAUUAAUACUACAAAUCCCAUUAAUCACUCCGACGCCGAAGACCAACCGCCAACGCCGACCGGAGACGGCUGUCGGAUUCGGUCCGAUUCGAAAUGCCCCCCCGCCCCGAAGAAACCUAAAUCUUCACUGAAAUUCAACCACGGCGAUGUGAGGCAAUUCUUCAAGCCUCCGGAUUUAGAGGUGCUCUGAAGAAGAGAUACAAGAUGUGUGGUAGGUGGAAUGAAAAGCUCUGAAUGAGCCACGCCUCUCAGCCAGACAGUCGAAACGUGGUGAAAACCACUUACAUUGAUCAAAAGGGAAAAUGAUGUGAGCAUAUGGAAACGUCUUCAGAUUUGCAGGUAAUGAAGAAGAUUUUCAAGCAUGCAAAUGGAGAAAGUGAAAGAGGAAGACGAGCUCUACAAAGUGAUGUACAUGGUUUGGCCAAUGAAGCCUACAUCCACAGUAAGGAAGAAGUUUCUAUUAUUGAAGGCAUAUAAGAGCCAAUUUCUUUUUCUUUACAGAUUUUGUACAUGUAAAAAUGAAAAAACUCUUAGUUGUUUGAAUGUACACACAUAUUUACAGGUUUGUAUGACUGCUACAAAUGAGUUGUAAAGUCUGUUUAGAAGAAAAAAACUAGUCGUUGAGAUUAACUUUCUUCAAAUCUCCACCUUUUAGCCUUCUUCCUUCCAAAUCUGAUGAUGUUUAACCUUUUUCAAGUAACUAGAAGCUGACCUGUUUGAAACAUUGGGCUAACUUGAGCUUCGUGUUAGGUUUGGUAAGCAUGUCAAUUGCAUUCCCGAGGUAUGGACUUUCAGAACCUCAAUUUCUCCUUGUUCUAUUAUGUCUCUUAUGAAAUGAAACUUGAUAUCUAUGUAUUUUGUUUUUGAGUGGUAUUGUGGAAUUUUGGAAAGAUGGAUAGCACUUUAGUUAUCACAGUAGAUUUUAACUAUUGUUUGUUUGAUGCCAAAGUCUUCCAUCAAGCACUUUAACCACAAUGCUUCCUGAUAGUGCCAUAUAUUCUACCUCAGUAGUUGAUAAAGUUGUGAUAAACUGUAGAUUUGCCUCCAGCUUAGUAGAUUUGGUCCAUAUAAGAAGAGAUAACCUGUAAGAAAUCUUCUUUUGUCUUGAUCCCUUACGAAAUUUGAAUCAACAAACCCAUAUAGCUCAAGUUUUGUCUUCUGUAUACUUUGAUAGAUUAGCUUGGAUUGUUUAGACCAGAUUUGAUACCUAAGUAUCUAUUUAGUAGCUUCCGAGUGUCUUCUUCCAGAGUUAGACAUGUAUCUACUAACUAGGCUUGCACAGUAGGAAAGAUCUGACUUAGUAGAGAUCAUAAGAUACAUCAAACUACCUACUGCCUGACUAUAGGGAACCAUUUGCAUUUGAUUUAAGUGUUCCAAGUUAGUUUCCUUAUGUGAAUUAGUUGAGGAUAGUUUAAAAUGAUGAGUAAUAGGUAUAGUUACUGGUUUAGCAUUGGUCAUAUUGAAUCUUCUAAUGAUCUCCUCACAGUAGUUGGUUUGACUAAUGUUCAGUGUAGAGGAACCCCUAUCUCUGUUAAUCUCAAUCCCAAGGAUCUUCUUAGACUGACCUAUAUCCUUCAUGUCAAACUCUCCCUUUAUGAGAUCUUUGACAUGCCUUAGAUCUUCUUUAGAACUCCCAGCUAGCAAUAUAUCAUCCACAUAGAGAAGUAAGUAUACCUUAUUCUUAUAAGUGGUUUAGUUUACAUAGGUACAUAUGUCAUAGGAGCUCUUUUGAAAUCCAAUACUCUCAAUAUAGUCAUUAAAUCUCCUGUACUAGCAUCUAGGAGACUAUUUAAGUCCAUAGAUGGACUUAUUUAGAAGACGGUAGAGAUCCUCUUUUCCCUUUUCUUCAAAAUCCUUAGGUUGCACCAUGUAAAUAAUCUCAUAUAGAUGACCAUGUAUGAAAGAUGUCUUUACAUCUAGCUGAUUUAAUUCAAGGUUAUACUGAGCAACUAGAGACAAUAAGAGUCUGAUAGAAAUCUGUUUUACUACUGGUGAAAAGAUCUCAUAAUAAUCUAUGCCUUCUCUCUGAGUGAAUCUCUUAGCCACUAGUCUUGCCUUAUAUUUAGGUUUUUAUUCUUUAGAAGUACCCUCCUUUGGUUUAUAGAUCAAUUCAGAUGCUAUUGGUUUGUAUCCUUUAGGAAGAGAAGCUAGGGUUCAAGUGUUAUUCACACAUAGUUUCAAUCCAGUUCCUUGCAUCAAGGCAGCUUACUACCUCUUCAAAAGUAGCUGGUUCUUGGUUAUUUGGAGCUAUUGUAACAUUUAAAACUAGGUUCAUAUAACUUGUUUCAGUAUACCUAGCUAGAGGAACAAUCACCCUUCUUUGUUUGUCCUUUGCUAAUGAGUAUUGACUCAAAUUAGGUUGAGCUUCAGUGUGUUGUUGUAGCUCACCUGUGGUUUUCUCUUCCUCUUUUGAAUCAUUUGGAGGAUUUUGACUAAUAGACCUAUCUUUAGGUGCCUCCACCUUAAUUCUAGUAGUAGGAUUCUUAGGUAUCUCAAUUGUAGUCUUCUUUUUUUGCAUAAAUAUUUCAUUUUCUCUAAAAGUGACAUCCCUGCAGACCACAGAUCUUUUCUCAACAUAAUUCCACAUCUUGAAGCCCUUUACACCAUCUGUGAACCCUACAAACAUACAUUUUACAGCCUAAGUUUUCCCUAAUUUUGAUGUAUGUAUCCAACACAUCCAAAUAUCCUUAGGUUGUUUAGCUUAGGAGGAUUUUUGGAUCAUUUUUCUUUAAGGGUUAAGAAGUUUAAGGAUAUAUGUGGACACCUAUUUAAGGUGUACACAGUGUAGCUUGCAACUUCAGCCCAGUACUUUUCACUAAGGAUGGCAUCUAAAAGUAAGCAUUUGACCCUUUCCAUAAUAGUUCUAUUAAGUCUCUCUGCCACCCCAUUCUGUUGGGAUGUAUAUCUGACUGCUCUGUGCCUGGUAAUGUCUGUUUCUUUACAAAAUUUGUUAAAUUCUUCACUACAAAAUUCCAGCCCAUUAUUUGUCCUUAGGUACUCAAUUUCCUUAGAUGUUUUCUUCUCAAUCACGAGUUUCCAUUCCUUAAACUUCUCAAAUACUUGGUCUUUUGAUUUAAGAAAGAAAACCAAAUUUUCCUUGAGAAGUCAUCAAUAAAAGAAAGUAAAUACCUUGAGCCACUUAGGCUAGGUGUUGGAGCUGGUCCCCAUAGGUCUGAGUGAAUGUAGCCACGAAUAGCUUUUAUUGAAUGUUGUGCCUUGGUAAAACUAUGUCUGGUUGCUUUUCCCAAAACAAAUGUUCACAAAAGGUCAGUUUGUUUAAAAUUCCUUUGGAUAGGAUGCCCUGUUUAGAUAGCACUUCCAGCCAUUUAGCACUAAUAUGAGACAACCUCUUGUGCCAUAUAUCAGCUUCUGUUAGAUCAUUAGUAGUGGCAACAUAUGCCCUUGUCAUCAUUUCUACUCCUCUGACCACAAACAAGUCAUUAACCUUCUCCCCAACAAGAACCACCUUGGAAUCUUUUAGAACUUCAAGAGUUCCACACUUACCCCUGUACUCACACCCUACAACAUCAAACAUUCGUAAGGAGAUUAAAUCCUUCUUAAGGAAUGGUACAUGCCUAACAUUUCUGAGGAGUUUCACUGUCCCAUCCUUGAGUUUCAUUGAGACAUAACCAAUUCCUUCAAUUUUGCAAACUUGGUUGUUUCCCAUGUAAACCAUUUCUCCAUCAACUUCUUUGUAGGUGUUAAACCAAGGUCUCAUUGGUGUCAUGUGAUAGGUGCAUCUAGAAUCCAAGACCCAAUCAUAUUUCCCUAGGGGAUUUAUAUUAUUGGCCUUGUCAAGUGUUGAGGCUAGUGCAUCAGAGUAAAUAAAGGAACCUUCUACAACAGAAGCUUUAGGCUGCUUACCUUUAGUUUCUUUUUCUUUCUCUUGAUUUUUCCUAUUGAGAAUGAAAAGUCUUUAAUCAAAUAGCCUUUCUUUUUUAAAUAUUCGCAUUUAACUUUCUAUUUUGGUUUAUUUUCAUCUGAAUGCUGUUGUUUUCUAUCAUUCUGCUAAUUUGAUUUGAAAUUUCCCUUCACAAACAAUCCUUCACCACUUGGUUGUUCCUUUUUAAUUGUCUGUAGCUCAAAUUCUUUUGUUCUUAGGGAAGAGAUGAUUGCAUCAGUAGUUAUAUUGUCCCUUCCAUACUUCAAUACAUUUUUAAUUUCCCUAUAGGAUUCUGAUAAGGAGUUUAGAAACACAUAUGCCUCAUUUUCAUCUCCAAUUUCCUCCCCUAGAUUCUUAAAUUCAGCAACAAUUCUUUUGAAUUCAUCAAAAUUAUCUGAAAGGGAUUUUAAUGAAUCCAUUUUAAUAGUGAAAAACCUCUCUUUAAGGUACAUUUUAUUAGGAAGAUCUUUAGUAGUAUACAAGUCUUCCAAUUUUGUCCAAAUCCUAUAGGCUUUCUCUUGAUCAAGGACUUGCCUUAAAACAUUAUCACUUAGAUUUAGAAUUAACGUACCAUAGGCUGCCAGCUUCCAGUCUUCUUUCUUUUGAGCUGUGACAUUGUUUGGUAGAGAGGAUGGAUCAAGAAGAGCCUUAUGAGCCUUCUGCUGACCAAGAAUGGCUAUGAUUUUGGCCUUCCAAAGGCCAAAACCACCAUUUCCAUCAAAUUUCUCCACUUCGAAUCUUGCUACUUCCAUUUGACCGUGAAUCUUGAAUCUUGAUUCUCUUUAAUUAUCUUUGCUUUGAUACAAAUUUUGUUGGGCUUACACUUAUUUUUCAGGCCCAAGGUGCUAUGAAGAAGUGAUCCAAGAUGUGUGGUAGGUGGAAUAAAAAGCUCUGAAUGAGCCACGCCUCUUAGCCAGACAGUCGACACAUGGUGAAAAACCACUUACACUGAUCAAAAGGGAAAAUGAUGUAAGCUGAUGGAAAUGUCUUCAGAUUUGCAGGUAAUGAAGAAGAUUAUCAAGCAUGCAAAUGGAGAAAGUGAAAGAGGAAGAAGAGCUCUACACAGUGAUGUACGUGGUUCGGCAAAUGAAACCUACAUCCACGGAAAGGGAGAAGUUUCUUUUAUUGAAGGCAUACAAGAGCUGAGUUAUUUUUCUUUACAUAUUUUGUACAUGUAAAAAUGAAAAAACUCUCUUAGUUGUUUAAAUGUACAACAUAUUUAUAGGUUUGUAUGACUGUUACAAAUGAAUUGUAGAGACUGUUUAGAAGAAAAAACUAA